UGCUAACGACCGGCUGGCAGCGGCGGUUGUGACAGCCUGCGAAAAUUCAAGGACGCGUGACAUUUAAGUUGACUAGAGUGUUUCCCUCCCAGGGUGGAAUUCAAAUGACUGGCAUAUGGCAUUGGGGAGGAAAAAUUUUCAUUGAUGAUGCUCCGAGUCUCCCUGUAGAUGACACUGCAUUGGAUGCUGAAAAGCAUCCUCUUUUCUGCCACGAAUGUCAGGUUGUCCAAUUCUGCGCCCAUGAGAGAGCCCGUUUUCCUCCUCUGAAAAAAAAAAAACCGUUUAAAAUA